UGUAAGGAGAAGCCUGGGAACUACAGACCUGUGAGUCUGACUUCAGUGGUGGAGACUGGUGACCCCCUGAAAUUCGAGCAGUUAAGGCCAAAACAUUGAAUGUUUCCAAGAAGAAGAUAUAUGUAUUUGCGAGGGCUAAAGGGAUCAGGCUACUGAGUAAAAUAAUCAGCCAUGACUGAAAGUUACAUUGGCCUACACUGUUCCUAUUUUCUAUGUUUCUGUUCUGUUGAAGGUGGGAUAUAAAAACAAGAUGAUUUUAA